CAAAUUUGUACUUUAUUUUAUUUAUUCAUUUUAUUUUUUCAUUUUGCAUUUGUUUGAAGCACAUUGAAUUGCCACGUGUAUGAAAUGUGCUAUACAAAUAAAUAUGCCUUGCCUUCCCUUGGAAUGUCUUGCCAUCAAGUGGGCAUUGGACAGCCUUCGGUAUUAUCUACUUGGACGGAACUUUGAUUUGGAAAUGGACCACCGGGCAUUGAGCUGGAUCAACUCCAUGAGGGAUAAGAACUCCUGUGUCACCAGAUGGUACUUGGCAUUACAGCCAUAUUGCUUCAAUAUUACUUACAGAGCUGGAAAAACGAACUUGCUUGCCGAUUACCUGUCCCGCCUUCCUGAACUUGCAGUUCCUGGAGAGGAGGGAGGUGAUGUGACAGUUUGACCACUGUCCCUGUCUGUUUAACUGCCUAUCAAUAGCGCACAUUGAUGGAUAGUGUAUGAACAGCAAACCUUCAAGCAUACAGUAUAUUCAAGCUAUUUAUUCAAGCAACACUCACAAACAAUCUCUCCCUCUCAUCAUGGCUCUGUACUGCAGACUAAAAGAGUCAGGGUGGGGCUGAGGGCUUUAAAUAUGGCGUCAGGAAACACCUGCUGGCACUGAUUGGCCCAAUUUGGGCCAAACCAAUUUUCCUUGUGUCAAAGGAGUACACUGGACAUUGACAUUGGACAUUAAUGAGCAACUAGCCUAAAUGCACUUGUGAAAAUCACUGAUCUACAAGAUGAAAUGAACUUUAACACGCAUGCUGUAUUUUUGAUGAGUUUAUUCAUGGUUGAUUUGCAAAAUGCCACAGUAUUAUAAUCCCCCUGUUGAUUGGGCCUGUCUAGUGGGAGGGGCCAUGGGGUAUAAAAGGGGUGAGCUGCUGUCUUUCUGAAAGUCUGCUGUAUGCUGUUGCCAGAAGAGGUUGUCUGUGAUGCUAUCUACUGAGGUCUAUCAUGGAUAUUUAACUGAAGUUCUGUGAGUAUCCCAACUUAACCAUGAAGAUGAACUGCAAACUGUAAGUCAUUAAUUUCUCAUUACUCUUGGGCACAUUGAUGUAUUUUUGCUUCCUGGUGAGUUAACCCGUUGGCUAAAGGUUGAUCUGAGUAGUAAGGAUGUUUUAUUGGUUCAUUGGUUUCUUAGGUGUUUGGUUUAUGUUGGUUUUAAUGUUUUUUUUAAAAUGGUUACGAGAUCCAAGUUAUUGUUGUAAGCUGGAGUAAUUGGUUGGGUUCUGAUGUCUUAAGUCUUCUUUCCAGCUACUUUCCUGAGCUCUGCAUCUUCAACACACGAGUGUUGCUUUACUGAUGAGGGUGUGGUCUGAGUGAGCGGAGGUGCAUACUGGGAUACAGAGCUGUCUGAAUUCUACAGGUCUGUAGGCACGCCCCCUCAGGGGAAACCAAGUGUUUCAGAAACCGUCGUGACGUCAGUUACAUGGACUGGAAUGUUCUUUAAGAUGGAGACGGGAUUCAGAAGGAGAAACGCCAGGGGGAGAUGAGGGGGCUCCUCAUCUCAACAGCUGAAACACAACUUCAGUCUGACAGAGAGAACCAUGGAACACAUUCAACAGUCCCCUCCAUGCAUCGUGAGUCCUCAUGAAAAGUUUAAUUUCCAAGAAGGUCUUAUUUGGGGCCAUCCCCAUAUGGAUCCUGCUCCUCAAGAGCCAACCCCCCUCCACUGAGUGGUCUUCUGAAGAGAUGACUUCCUUCCUGUCCUCAGGCUGAUUAAAGCUGCACUGUUUGCAUCUGUGAAGGCCCCUCAUUCAGGAAACCACUGGACUACAAAGAAAUGACUUCAGAAACGUUGAAUCAACCUGGGACACAUUUUGGAGACGCCAAGCAUAAUCUAUCACCAAUGUGGGACGCCACUGAAAAAUGUUGCACACAAUUAACUUCUCUGGAGACAUUGGUUGUUCUGUUCUGGGUGCCCUGGCAGGAGAGCUGGGGUUGGAUGAUGGAACGUUAUUUGGCAUGAGGUUUUUACCCUGCAUGAUUGUUUGGCCUUUUAUGGAUCAGUGUUGUGUGUGUGUUUGGGUUUGACAUGAGAUGGAUUUUUUCAUCGCUAGGGUUCUACUGUGUGUGUGGGUGUGUGUGUGUCUCCCACUCACACCUGGUAUGGGGUUCUACGUGCCUGUCCUGGGUUCUGUGUGUGUGUGUGUGUGUGUGUGUGUGUGUGUGUGUGUGUGUCCGGCUUGCUUUGACAGUGAUAAUGUUCAUACGGGGGUCUGUGUGAUUGGCUUGGGAUAUUGGAGUGGGCAAAUAAAUCAUACCUGAUGGACGGCCACACGUUUACUUAAGGGCCUCCAGUAGACAUGAAGAGCCCUGAGCGAUGCUCCGGAGCGAGAUCCAACACACUGGGCAGGAAGGAGAGUAUCCAAAUCAAGGGUAAAAGGAUGCAAGCGGCGUGUUCAGAUCAGUGACUUCAAACUAGGACUACACCAAUCAGGAUCAAUGGAGGAUGGACACCAAAAGGAAUUCCACAAGGAGAGUGUGACGUUGGAAAGGGACCUAAAUGGAUAUUCAAGAUGACCUUCAGACCUGUAAUGAGACGGCUCUUCCUACCAGCCUGGAUUGAUGGAGAGCCCUGUGGAUCUUGUCUUGCUCUCAGUUGCACGUCUUCUCAGGCUGAACUCUAAUUGUCUCGGACAGGACUAGCUGAACAAUUGGUUCCCUUAAAUCAGAACCAAUCCGGGAACUCCAUCUAGUGCGCUCUUCGAGCUGAAGUUGUGCUCUUCAGCUGAGGAGGUAAGGAAACCUUCACUGGGGCUUCAAGAUGUAAAGAGGAGAAUGUUUCAAAGUGUUCCAUGGUACUCUGAUGAAGACCGUUGGUGUGUUCCACUGGCUGAGAGGAAGAACCCACACAUCUUCCUCUUGGCCUUUCUCCUCUCAGAAUCCUGGCGCCAUCUUGAAGGAUAUUCCAGCUCAUGUAACUGAUGUCACGACAGAUUCACAAACACUUGGUUUCUCCUGAGGGGCGUUUCUAUAGAACUGAAGACUUCAGACGGCACUGUAUCCCAGCAUGCAUCUCUGCUCACUCAGACCACACCCCCAUGAGUAGGAUGCAACACUCUUGGGAUGGAGAUGUAGUGUUUUAUAAGUAACGAGGGAGCAGACUAAGGGGAUUAGAACGUAAUGGAAUGUCAAGUCUAAAUCUUUAAACCAUGAAGAUGGUUGGAAAAGUCAGGAAUUUGGCUUAUUUUUAAUAUGGGCAGUCCUUUCACUCGGAUGCUCACUUGAAAUGUACAUGCGUUGGCUGGCUGGCAUGAUUUGCUGUUGGUGAUGAGGCGGUCAGGGUGACGUUGCAGGGCUAUGGUCGGCUCUCUGUGAGCUCAACGUUUAGAUUUUCUCUGGUUUGUACCCUGAAUAAUCUAGAUAAUUGUAAAAUGUAGACACGGUUUUGCAUUGAAUGAUUCCAGGAUUUUAGGUUUAAAGUUGUUGUGCAUGGUAGUUUGGUUCUUCGUAUGGUUUUGAGUGAUUAUAACUUGUACACACUGGGUGCAUAAUAAUGUAAUGUUACACUGAAUAGUAUUAAUGACCAACAGCAACAAACAGAUCCCCUCAAGGUAAGUCUGUUGGCUGUAUUUUAAUGAAGACCAUCGCUGGACUUCAGGAUCUUCCUCCGUUCAGCUCAAGGUGAGGCACUGGUUACGUUUUUUCUUUGGUUGGUUCCGGCUGGAAUGUUCGGAUUCCAGUCGGACGGUUUGUGCUUCCCGCCGUGGACGGUUCUGAGUGCGGUCACUUGAUUUAGUCCCAAUGGUUAGCAUAGAAAGUUGUAGUCUUGACAACCAUAAGAACACUGACACGAAUUUCGUACAAUAUGUUAAUUUCCGAUGGUUGCGCCGUACUUUUAACCACGUUGACGGGACUCUCGCUGCGUACAAAACGGCGUUCUACUUGCGGCCCAAUUUUUGGUGAAGGCUGAAAAUCAUUUCAAGGUGGAAGACAAGUUGAGUAAAUUUGAUUUAAUAUUGAUACUUCUUAGUGUUCAUUGUUACUUCACUGUUACUUGCUGAUAUAAACCUCCUGCUGUAGCUCAAAGGUGAGGCUGAGAGGCUUGGGACCGGAGGCUUGUGGUGCCAGGAUGGACCGGAGACUGAGGCUGGAGACCAGGGGCCUGCAGCACCGGACCAGAGGACCAGGAAUCCAUGGCUGAAGGAGCUGAUGGAGGCCCUGCCUGGUGGAGGAGCCAUGCUGAAAGCCCUGCCUGGUGGAGGAGCUGACGGAGGCCCUGCCUGGUGGAGGAUGUCUGUCGUGGGACCAGGACUCUUUCUGAGGAGAGCAGAUGGAGGGGCUGAGACGCUGGAGGACAACUAGGAAUCAACCAACAAGGAUUCCUCAACGUGUUUCUGGAGCGGAGGCGAGCUGAUGGGGGAGCCGUGAAUCUGGAGGAUGACGUCACUCUACCAACAAAGAUUGUAAGUUUGUAUUAACCUGUAUCCACAAAGUGGAAAUAAAGGGCUUAAAAUUAAGACAAACUACAAGUUUGUUACCAGACAUUGGGACCAGACUUGCGCUUUUUGUUUCAGACCAGGACUCUGGCUGAGGAGAGCUGAUGGGGAGCCAUAAAGUAAGCAGAGUGGACUUAAUGCAGGAUUAGUUUGUCCAGUAGAAGUUAAGGCGUACUAGUACUGUGGUUGGUUACCAGACAAACUACAGCUGCUACUUUGUAACGCGCCAUUAGAUCCCAACUACUCCUGUGUUUGUGACCUUACAUUAGAGACCAACUACUACUGUGUUUGUGACCUUACAAUAGAGACAAAUUACGUUUGUAACCAGACCAGGAAUCUGGAGGACUGACGGAGAAGCUGUACAUCUGGAAGGCAAAUCCUGAGGACGAUCAGGACUCUACCAUCAAGGAUUCCUCGUAAGUUUGCAUUAUCUGGAUAUAGUGGACUAGGUAGGGGGUUGGGGGUUCAACUCUCAAACCAAUGGUGCCGGGUUCAAGUCCUCAGAAUACAGUGAUACGUCCUUGAGCAAGGCGCCCUAAAGCCUGCCUGCUCCUUAAUGACGUCUCUUUGGUUCAGAUAAUGUUGCAUCUUUUGAAUAUUGAACCUAAUCAAUGUCCUUGUUUUG